UACGUAGGGUCCGAGCGUUGUCCGGAAUUACUGGGCGUAAAGCGUGCGCAGGCGGUUUUGUAAGCCAGGGGUGAAAUCCCCGGGCUCAACCUGGGAAUGGCAUUUGGGACUGCAAGGCUGGAGUGCGGCAGAGGAGACUGGAAUUCCUGGUGUAGCAGUGAAAUGCGUAGAUAUCAGGAGGAACACCGAUGGCGAAGGCAGGUCUCUGGGCUGACACUGACGCUCAUGCACGAAAGCGUGGGGAGCAAACAGG
rnacentral:rRNA from 1 species